UACGAAGUAUAAAUUUGUUAAAGAAAUGAUUAAAAGAAAAAUAAUAAACUUAGAAUAUGUACCGUCAGAAUCUAUGUUAGCAGAUGCACUUACGAAGGCAGUAACACGUAAUAAAAUUAAUUUCUGCAAUAAAGGCAUGGGAUUGUGUAAUUAAAAAUUAAAAUAAAAUGUAAUACUUGUAGUCUUAAUUUCAAAGUGGGGGAAUGUAGAAUAAUAUUACAUGGUUGAAAUUCAGGUUACAAGUGGUUAUAGAUUGCAUGUAGAAGAAUUGCUAUGUUCAUUAUGAGUGUGUAUGUUCAUUUCAGUUGUGUAAUUUGUUAUCCCUCACUACCAAAUCUGUCCUCGUUGUGUUAACACGCUUUUGUAAACGUUACUAAUAAUAUUGUUCUAAUAAAUUUGGUGAAACAUAUAAAGACUUUUACUAAUUCUCAAUUAUAAAAGCUAACAGCUAAUAAAGUCGUUCUUUCUAAUAAAAGCCUGUUCUUUUAUUAGUGUCAGCGUGGUCAACUCCUAUAUGAAGUUUCAGACUGCGUUAGUUCAUUCUCGUAUAUUCGUCCAGGUGGCGGUAGAUCUUUAAUGACCAUCUUAGAUAAUCUAUAGCCGUGUGACAAUUAACAUAUCUGUUAUAGGUUAUAUUAUCUAUUUAAUAUAAAAAUAAAAUUAUCACUCGAUUAAGUGGAUUAAGUUUAAUACAUUCGUCAGCGAGUGAACGUAGCUGCAUUAAAGACAUCGACUGUGAAAUUACCGUUCUUAAUUUUAAUAAUGGUAAAAGUUGAAUGGAUCUGCGUUGUACCAGGCUGUAAAUCAAAUUCAAGGAUUCCUGGUCAUUUUUUCCCAAAGAGUCCAACAUUAUCAGAAAAGUGAAAAGAAGCUGUAAAUAAUAAUAUAAUUUUAAAUAUCUCAUCAGAAGAAUUAAGAAAAUAUAGAGUAUGUCACUUGCAUUUUUUACCUGAAGAUUAUAUUUAUACUCAAAAUCGUCGAAGACUGAAACAUAAUGCAGUACCUAGUGUAAAUAUAUAUAAUACGCAGACAUUUACAGACAGUACAGAAAUAAAUGAUGCAAAUACAGAAAUAAAUGAUAUAACUGACAUACAGUUGCAUUCACAAUCUGAAACAAAUACUGAAUUACAUUUACAAUCUCAAACCAGUAAUAUAGAAAUAAAUGAUACAACUGACAUACAGUUGCAUUCACAAUCUGAAACAAAUACUGAAUUACAUUUAUAAUCUCAAACCAGUAAUGAACCUGGACCUUCUACAAAUAAUUUUAUAUGUGCAGAAACAAAUAUACAAAACGAUCAAAAUAAUAUCACAAAUAAGGUUAAUAGUCCAUCACGAAUAUCAAGAAAUAUACUUGGAUCUGUUACAAGACAACGUCAUUUAACACCAAAAGCA
rnacentral:lncRNA from 13 species